rnacentral:rRNA from 1 species
AAUCAACGCUGGCGGCGUGCCUAACACAUGCAAGUCGAACGAGAAAGUGGAGCAAUCCAUGAGUAAAGUGGCGCACGGGUGAGUAACACGUGACUAACCUACCCUUGAGUGGGGGAUAACCUAGGGAAACCUGGGCUAAUACCGCAUAAUACCUACGGGUCAAAGGAGCAAUUCGCUUUAGGAGGGGGUCGCGGCAGAUUAGUUAGUUGGCGGGGUAAUGGCCCACCAAGACGAUGAUCNGUAUCCGGCCUGAGAGGGCGCACGGACACACUGGAACUGAAACACGGUCCAGACUCCUACGGGAGGCAGCAGUGGGGAAUUUUGCGCAAUGGGGAAACCCUGACGCAGCAACGCCGCGUGGAGGAUGAAGACCCUUGGGUCGUAAACUCCUUUCGAUCGGGACGAUAAUGACGGUACCGGAAGAAGAAGCCCCGGCUAACUUCGUGCCAGCAG